GGGUGGAUGGCGCAGUUGGCUAGCGCGUAUGUCGCAUAGGUUAUCAUCAGGAGUGAUCGUGAGGUCGAGAGUUCGAACCUCUCUCACCCCA
rnacentral:tRNA from 1 species